AUGCCCAGCUAAUUUUGUAUUUUUAGUAGAGACAGGGUUUCACCAUGUUGGCCAGGCUGGUUUCAAACUGCUGACCUCGGAUGACCCACCUGCCUCGGCCUUCCAAAGUGCUGAGAUUACAGGCGUCAGCCACCAUGCCCGACCUCAUUAUGCUUUUAAUUUGCACUUCUCUUAUGAUCUCUGAUGGUGAGUGUGUGUGUACAGAUAUUUCAAUGGCAUCCUUUUGUAUUUUGCAAAAACAGGGAGUAUAUAUAUACUAUUUUUGCAAAAUAGCAGUUGAAAUUUUGGUGCAGAUUGUAUUAAAUCUGUAGACCACUUUGGGUAGUGGAGACAUCUUAACAAUAUUAAGUCAUCUGGGCUGGAUGCAGUGGCUCACCCUGGAAUUCUUAACAGGACCAUUAGGAUUAAAUAAAUUUUACUGGGGGUCUGAAGAAAUGAUGUAAUCAAGCGCCCGGCUUGAUUACAUCAUUGGAUAUUGGUGAUAGACUUAAACUUCAGCACCUCUCUCCUCCAGGUGAGGCAGGGAACUUAAGGCCAAUUUGUGCUGACUUCCUAAAGCUGGGUCAAAGGAAAACACCAAGGUCUUGGGGCAGAGAAUCUAAGGCCAAUUAACGCCAACUGCCUAAAGCUAAACCAAAAGAAAAAACCCCAUCUCCCCAAGCCUGGAGCAGCAAAGGAUGGAAGGCUACUUUCCCUCCAGCCCUCCCACUUCCACCAACAUCUCAGAUGGAAAGUGCCCUGGAUUGGCUGCGGGCCAAGCAUGGCCCAUCCCUUCAUCUUCAGAGGGCACCAAUUCACCUCAGCCUUUAAUUAGCCACCAGCCAAAUCCUUCAUCCAGAUAAGGGGUAACUGAUGGGGACCUUGAAAGGAGUACUUAAAACCCAGAAAACUUUGUAACUGGUCCCUUGAGCUGCUUGCUCGGGCUCACUUCCACCCUGUAAUGUGCUUUCUCCCUUUAAUAAAUCCUUGCAUUUGCGGCUUCGGUCCUGGGUUUCGUUCCUUUGUGUGUUUUCUUCAGUUCUUUGUUCAAAAACUCCAAGGACCUGGACAACUCACACUCAUGGCCUUCCUUCCAGUAACACAGGGGAGUCAGGGGUGAAGCAGAGUAUCCUAACCAUCUAAUCACAUGGUUGUUUCCCCUGGCAACCACCCCAUCCUGAGGCUAUGCACGGCCCGCAGUCACUAGUCACCUCAACAUCACUUUGAUUCCAAGGCUUUUAGGAGCUGUAGGCCAAGGAAACAGGAACAAACCAAAAUAAAUAUUUCAUAAUAUCACAGAUGUCUUUCUAGGUAUUUGUAUCUUUCUUUCUUUUUUUUUUUUUUGAGAUGGAGUUUCCCUCUUGUCGUCCAGGCUGGAGUGCAGUGGUGUGGUCUUGUCUCACUGCAACCUCUUCCUCCUGGGUUGAAGUGAUUCUCCUGCCUCAGCCUCCUGAGUAGCUGGGACUACAUGCACGCACCACCACGCCCGGCUGAUUUUUGUAUUUUUGGUAGAGACGGGGUUUCACCAUUAUUGGCCAGGCUGGUCUCAAACUCCUGACCUCAGGUGAUCCACCUGCCUCGGCCUCCCAAAGUGCUGAGAUUACAGGUGUGAGCCACUGCGCCCAGCCUCUUUAGUUUCUUUUAGCAAUGCUUUGUAGCUUUCAGUGUAGAAGUCUUUUAUUUUCUUGGUUACAUUUAUUCUCAAGUAUUUGUUUUUGUGCCAUUGUAAAUGGGAUUGUUUUCUUAAUUUUCUUUUCUGCCUGGUCACCACUAGUGUGUAGAAACACAAUUCAUUAUUAUUUUUCUUGCUGAUUUUGUUUUUUUCGCCUUUGCUGAAAUCCCAUAGAGUCAGCCCUCCAUAUUCCUGGGUUCUGCAUCUAUGGAUUCAACCAGCUACGAAUUGAAAAUAUUCAGAAAAAAAUUGGAUGGCUGUGUCUGUAAUGAAUAUGUGCUUUUUUCCCCCUUAUUAUCUCCUAAAUGACUUAUUAUAAAAACUAUUUACACAGCAGUUGCAUUGUAUUAGGUAUUAUAAAUAACCUACAGAUGAUUUAAAGUAUAUAGGAAGAUGAGUGUAGGUUAUGAGAAAAGAACUUUUAUCUGAAGAAUGUGAGACUGUGGCAGGCCAGGUCUCACUAACGCAGGCCUCCAUAACAACUGUUUCAGUACUGACUGAGUGGUUAAGUUAAAUAUUAAAAGCCAGCGCCCUUACAUAAGGGCUGGGAUGUAACAAAAGCCCACCAAAAAGUUUCUCCUAGGCCUGCCUUUCUUGGGCUUUAAUGCAUGACAACAAUAAUGAAGGAAUUUUUUUUUUUGAGAUGGAGUCUCACUCUGUUGCCCAGCUGCGAUCUCGGCUCACUGCAACCUCUGCCUCCCAGGUUCAAGCAAUUCUCCCGCCUCAGCCUCCUGAGUAGCUGAGACUACAGGUGCCCGCCACCCCACCCGGCUAAUUUUUUGUAUUUUUAGUAGAGAUGGGGUUUCACCGUGUUAGCCAGGAUAGUCUCGAUCUCCUGACCUCGUGAUCCGCCCGCCUCGGCCUCCCAAAGUGCUGAGAUUACAGGGGUUAGCCACCAUGCCUGGCCAAGAAGUUGUUUUAUCUUGUUUACUGCUGAAGGUGUCAGGGUAAGGGGGGCCCAGGUGGGCUGAAGUUUCCUCUUGCUCACAGCGCAGACAGUUGCCCGGACUAAGGAAGCCGACAUCUUUGCUGUCCUGGCGCUCCGGUACCUCCAGCCAGAGCUCGGCCGCCUCAGCCUCUCUCCAUGGACAUGGCGGGCGCAUCCAGUUCAAAGAAUUUUUAAAUUUCCAUCUUGAUUUCAUCCAACGCUCAUCCAGAAACAGGUUGAUCUUUAAUUUUUAAUUUAAUUUCCAUGUAUUUAAUUUCUAAAAUUUAUUUAAUUUCCAUGUAUUUGCAUGGUUUUGAUGGUUCAUUUGGAGUUGAUUUUCACUUUUAUUCCACUGUAGUCUGAGAAAAUAGUUGAUAUAAUUUUGAUUGUCUUAAAUUUAUUGAGACUUGUGGCCUAUCAUAUGUCUAUCUUGGAAAAUGUUUCAAGUGCUGAUGAAUAAAAUGUAUAUUCUGCAGUUCUUAGGUAGAAUUUCUGUAAAUAUUUUUUAACUCCAUUUGUUCUAGGAUAUAGUUCUAAGUCCAUUUUUUGUUGUUGUUGUUGUUAUUAUUGACUUUCUGUCCUGAUGACUUGUCUAUUGCUGUCAGUAGAGUAUUGAAGUCCCUCAUUAUUAUUGUGUUGUCAUCUAUUUCAUUUCUUAGGUCUAGUAGUAAUUAUUUUAUAAAUUUGGGAGCUCCAGUGUUAGGUGCAUGUAUAUUUAGGAUUGUGAUAUUUCCCUGUUGGACUAGUCCUCUUAUCAUUAUAUAAUGUCCCUCGUUGUCUUUUUUUUUUUUUAACUGUUUUUGUUUUAAAGUCUGUUUUGUCUGAUGUAAGAAUGGCUACUACUGCUAGCUUUUGGGGUACAUUUGCAUGGAAUACCUUUUUCCAACCCUUUGCCUUAAGUUUAAGUGAGUCCUUAUGUGUUGGGUGAGUCUCUUGAAGACAGCAGAUAUUUGGCUUGUAAAAUCUUUUUUUUGAGUUGGAGUUUAGUUCUAGUCCAGGUUGGAGUGCAAUGGCGUGAUCUCCGCUCACUGCAACCUCCGCCUCCCGGGUUCAAGCGAUUCUGUUACCUCAGCCUCCUGAGUAGCUGGGAUUACAGGCAUUCACCACCAUGUCUGGCUAAUUUUUUUGUAUUUUUAGUAGAGACAGGGUUUCCCCAUGUUGGUCAGGCCGGUCUCAAACUCCCAACCUCAGGUGAUCCGCCCACCUCAGCCUCCCAAAGUGCUGGGAUUACAGGCAUGAGCCACUGCACCUGGUCUGGUAAACUCUUAUCCAUUCUGCCAUUUUGUGUCUUUUAAGUGGAGCAUUUAGGCCACUAGAUUAGUAGCAUUUAGGCCAAUAAUCACUAUCAAUUACACCACCAUACAUUACAAUGCCUGUCAUUGAAAGGCUUGAACACGUUGUAAUCCAUUCAUCUGUAUUCAAGUUUGCAGUUAUGGUGGAAACUUUGGCCUAUUGAUCAUCCUGCUGAUUAAAUAGUCUGUCAAGAGAAAGCAGAGAUGCAUGAGCAUCAACAUGGAAAACAGUGAUAAUGGUAGUGUGUGCCAGGAUUCAGAUAUCUUCCCAGUAUUGUUUUCCCCAAACCUCUUUAUUCCCAACUAACCAUUUGUUUUGUUACCACUGGGGUUUCCAGGUAGUAAGACCAUUUGCUACUGACCAAGAGUUGGUAUACAAGUGACAAAUCCUUCUGGCCUCCUCUUGAAUAGCUCGGAGGAUGGCUACUAGUUCAGCUAACUGGCUGUUCCCACCCCUUUCUUCAUCAGAAAUGUUUAUGUUUUUAACAGGAUUAUAAGCCAUGGCCUUCUAGUAUCUGGUCCCACCAAUGUAUUUGGUGGAUCCAUCCAUAAACCAAGCAUGUUUCUGAUCCUCUGGGCAUAGUUCUUUGAAGGAUCUGCCCCAUUGGGCAGGGGAGGUUUCCUUCCCUAUCUGCAGGACUUGCUCGGUGAUUUCCUGAGCUGGGAAGUUUCGUACAUCCUCAUGUAAAAGUGAUACCCUCUUUGGUUUUGGUUUAGAUGGGGGACUUGUAUAUCACAAGUAGCUGUAAAUUAACCGCUAAUGCUGCACCAGACACUAUAACCCAUGUCCUAUAGCUUAACAAUGGAUAGCCAAUUACUAAUCAAUGUCAUUUCUGUAAGCCAAUGAGAAUUCCUGACGACUUUAUACCAGCCACUCCCUGUACCCCAUUUUGCCUUUAAAAACCUGCUUGUGGCCAGGUGUGGUGGCUCAUGCCUGUAAU
rnacentral:lncRNA from 10 species